rnacentral:rRNA from 1 species
GGGCGAUGUCUUGUAAUUGGAAUGAUGGUGACCCAAACCCUCACCAGAGUAGCAAUUGGAGGGCAAGUCUGGUGCCAGCAGCCGCGGUAAUUCCAGCUCCAAUAGCGUAUAUUAAACUUGUUGCAGUUAAAAAGCUCGUAGUUGUAUUUUUGCGUUGACGGUUUGACCAUUUGGUUGGUUAUUUCGUUUUCGCUUUUGGGAAUUUCCCUUUUUACUUUGAGAAAAUUAGAGUGUUUCAAGCAGACUUUUGUCUUGAAUACUUCAGCAUGGAAUAAUAGAGUAGGACUUUGGUUCUAUUUUGUUGGUUAUUGAACCUUAGUAAUGGUUAAUAGGAACGGUUGGGGGCAUUCGUAUUUAAAAA